ensembl:misc_RNA Metazoa_SRP Metazoan signal recognition particle RNA
GCCAGGCGUGGUGGCCCGUGCCUGUAGUCUCAGCUACUCAGGAGGCUGAGGUGGGAGGAUCGCUUGAGCCCAGGAGUUCUGGGCUGUAGCGCACUAUGCCAAUCUGGUGUCUGCACUAAGUUUGGCAUCAAUAUGGCGACCUCCUGGGGACCACCAGGUUGCCUAAAGAGGGGUGAAACAGCCCAGGUCGGAAACGGAGCAGGUCAAAACUCCCGUGCUGAUCAGUAGUGGGAUUGCACCUGUGAAUAGCCACUGCUCUCCAGCCUGGGCCACAUAGCGAGACCCCAUCUUUA